GAUGAACGCUGGCGGCGUGCCUAAUACAUGCAAGUCGAGCGAACAGACGAGGAGCUUGCUCCUCUGACGUUAGCGGCGGACGGGUGAGUAACACGUGGAUAACCUCCCUAUCAGACUGGGAUAACUUCGGGAAACCGGAGCUAAUACCGUAUAAUAUAUUGAACCGCAUGGUUCAAUAGUGAAAGACGGUUUUGCUGUCACUUAUAGAUGGAUCCUCGCCGCAUUAGCUAGUUGGUAAGGUAACGGCUUACCAAGGCAACGAUGCGUAGCCGACCUGAGAGGGUGAUCGGCCAAACUGGAACUGAGACACGGUCCAGACUCCUACGGGAGGCAGCAGUAGGGAAUCUUCCGCAAUGGGCGAAAGCUUGACGGAGCAACGCCGCGUGAGUGAUGAAGGUCUUCGGAUCGUAAAACUCUGUUAUUAGGGAAGAACAAAUGUGUAAGUAACUAUGCACGUCUUGACGGUACCUAAUCAGAAAGCCACGGCUAACUACGUG
rnacentral:rRNA from 1 species